UACGGGGGGGGCAAGCGUUUGUUCGGAAUUACUGGGCGUAAAGGCUCGUAGGCGGCCAACUAAGUCAGACGUGAAAUCCCUCGGCUUAACCGGGGAACUGCGUCUGAUACUGGAUGGCUUGAGGUUGGGAGAGGGAUGCGGAAUUCCAGGUGUAGCGGUGAAAUGCGUAGAUAUCUGGAGGAACACCGGUGGCGAAGGCGGCAUCCUGGACCAAUUCUGACGCUGAGGAGCGAAAGCCAGGGGAGCAAAGCGGG
rnacentral:rRNA from 1 species